AAAAAAGAUGGAUCCGAUGGAUCCAAUGGAUAAGUAUUUAGCUAUAACUAAAUACUUAUCCAUUGGAUCCAUCGGAUCCAUCUUUUUUUUUAAUA